rnacentral:rRNA from 1 species
MWUAGAGUUUGAUCCUGGCUCAGAACGAACGCKGRCGGCGUGSUUAACACAUGCAAGUCGAACGUGAUCCGGAGCUUGMUCCGGUGAAAGUGGCGCACGGGUGAGUAACGCGUGGAUAACCUGCCMUGGUAUMUGGGAUAACAUCUSGAAAGGGGUGCUAAUWCCGGAYAAGCCUACGGACUCUUCGGAGUCUGCAGGAAAAGGAGGCCUCUAUUUAUAAGCUUCCGUAUCAUGAUGGGUCCGCGUMCCAUUAGCUAGUUGGUGGGGUAAUGGCCUACCAAGGCGACGAUGGUUAGCUGGUCUGAGAGGAUGAUCAGCCACACUGGAACUGAGACACGGUCCMGACUCYUWCGGGAGGCAGCAGUGGGGAAUUUUGCGCAAUGGGGGAAACCCUGACGCAGCAACGCCGCGUGAGUGAUGAAGGCUUUCGGGUCGUAAAGCUCUGUCAGAGGGGAAGAAAUGGAAACGGUUAAUACCCGUUUUUCUUGACGGUACCCUCAAAGGAAGCACCGGCUAACUCCGUGCCAGCAGCCGCGGUAAUAC